rnacentral:rRNA from 1 species
UACGAAGGGGGCUAGCGUUGUUCGGAAUUACUGGGCGUAAAGCGCACGUAGGCGGAUUGGUCAGUUAGGGGUGAAAUCCCGGAGCUCAGCUCCGGAACUGCCUUUGAUACUGGCAAGCUAGAGUCCGGAAGAGGUAAGUGGAACUCCUAGUGUAGAGGUGGAAUUCGUAGAUAUUAGGAAGAACACCAGUGGCGAAGGCGGCUUACUGGUCCGGAACUGACGCUGAGGUGCGAAAGCGUGGGGAGCAAACAGG